rnacentral:rRNA from 1 species
CGUGCAGGUGGCUUCGUAAGUUGGACGUUAAAUCUCCCGGCCUAACCGGGAGGAGUCGUUCAAUACUGCGGGGCUGGAGGGCAGAAGAGGGGGGUGGAAUUGCUGGUGUAGUGGUGAAAUGCGUAGAUAUCAGCAGGAACACCCGUGGCGAAAGCGGCCCCCUGGUCUGCUCCUGACACUCAUACGCGAAAGCUAGGGGAGUGAACG